rnacentral:rRNA from 1 species
UAUUAUUUAAAAUGAAUUUUAAUUCUUAGGUAGUAGUAGUUAUGAUCUUGAAACUUAAAAAAUUUGGCGGUAUUUUAGUCUAUCCAGAGGAACCUGUUCUGUAAUCGAUAUUCCACGUUGGACCUUACUUAAUAAUGUAUUCAGUUUAUAUACCGUCGUUAUAAGAAUAUUUUAUUAGAAUAAUAAUUUUCUUCAAUUUUUAUUAAAAUUUAUAUCAGAUCAAGGUGUAGCUAAUAAUUAAGUAGAAAUGGGUUACAAUAAAGUUAUUUAAAUGGAUAAAAAUAUGAAAAAUUUUUUGAAGGUGGAUUUGGUAGUAAAUUUAUUAAUUUUGUUAAUUUGAUUUUAGCUCUAAAAUAUGC